ACGGAAGGCAGCAGUGAGGAAUAUUGGGCAAUGGAGGAAACUCUGACCCAGCCAUGCCGCGUGAGUGAAGAAGGUUUUCGGAUUGUAAAGCUCUUUCAGAUGGGAAGAUGAUGACGGUACCAUCAGAAGAAGCACCGGCUAACUUCGUGCCAGCAGCCGCGGUAAUACGAAGGGUGCAAGCGUUGUUCGGAAUUACUGGGCGUAAAGGGUGUGUAGGCGGUUACAUAAGAUAGCGGUGAAAUGCCGGGGCUUAACCUCGGAACUGCCGUUGUUACUAUGUAACUAGAAUGACAGAGAGGAUAUUGGAAUACCCAGUGUAGAGGUGAAAUUCGUAGAUAUUGGGUAGAACACCGGUGGCGAAGGCGAGUAUCUGGCUGUUAAUUGACGCUGAGGCACGAAAGCAUGGGGAUCAAACAGGAUUAGAUACCCUGGUA
rnacentral:rRNA from 1 species